CCUGAACUAUAAGAAAUGUUAAAGAAAGUCUUUUAAAAGGAAAAAGGAAAACUAUAACAGUUGGAAAUUUGGGUUUAUAGAGAAAAAUGAAGAGCGCAAAAUGGUAAUUGUGUAGAUAAACGCAAAAAUAUUUUUUUUUCUUAUUAUUUAAACACAUCUAAAAGACAACUGACUAAAGCAAGAACUUUUUUAAAAAGGAAGCUAAAAAAAAUUAAUUUUAUUCAGGGGGCUAGGUAGACACCGAGGACUGACUUUGCCAAUGAUUAGGGCAGAGAUUUUCCAUAAAUUAAAUGAGUUAAAUUUACAUGGAAACAUAUUUAAGACAUGUAUAUAACACGGUAUGGCAGAAAACAUAUGUUUUUGCAACUAAACUUGUGAUUAAAAAAUACUUAAAUGAAAACUUAUAAAUAUUCAAACCAAGUAUUUCGGAAGUUUUUUAGGCUAGCCAAUGACUCACUGAAGAUGACUAGCUGAAGAGCACAGAUCUCUUGCUUCAAGGUCUUUUACAGCCAUUCCCUCUAACUGAAACACCUCUCUUUCUUUCUCUCCCCUGUCUUUUGCUUGACUAACUAACCCUACUUGUUCUCUGAGACUCUGCCUUUAAGUGACUCUUUCAGGUAACCACCCCAAAUCAGUAAGCACCUCUCCUGUGUGCUCCUGUGAGACUUACCACGCCCUCUCAGUUUAGCUUUCUCCAUCUUCAAGACUAGAAGCUCAGCAGGGCCAAGGACCGCAUCUAUCUUGUGCAUUAAUGUAUUCCCAGAUAGAAUGCAUGACACAUGAUAAAUACUCCAUAAAAACCUGCUGAAUGAAUUUUCAUCAAGCACAGGCAGUCAUGAAAUCAUCUGACCCACAGAAAUCAUUAACUUUAAAAAGUCACAAACUUCUUUUUAUUUCUAGGUAAUAUGAACCUUGACAAAAUUACAGCAAACAAACAUAAGCAUCACAGAACACAACUGCUGUGCCACACCUAUUUUCAAGAAUCUAGUCACUGCAUAUGUUUCAAAUUUGGAAUAAACAACAACAACAACAAAAUGAAAGUCAGAAAUACCAUUAUGGAGAAAAGAAACCAAAAAAGAAAGGAUGAAAUGGAAAAGCUUUGCAGGAAUCAAUUUGAUUCUCCACUAAUGGUUCCCUUGUGAGGCAAAAUGAUAAGUCCAAAACAGAGACUGUACCAUUUUUUUCUAUAAAAAGACAUCUGAUCUAUACAUUAAAACUUAAUGGCAUUCAUAAAAGCCAAACAAAUCCCACCAUGACUAACCAGAGUCAGAAACAGGAAGAAGUCUGUCUUGUCUGGAGAAAAUGAGAUUUUAUUUAAACAUUCAAGCUGCCUGGCUUCUUAAAGUGAUCUUCUACUUUUUAAUACAAAUAUGAAUUUUUUAAAAAACACUUUAGAAAAUGACAGUAGAGAUGAGGUCUAUUUCCUAAAUAAUUAUGUAUCUUAACUAUAUAUUAGUAAUAUUGAUUUGGAUACCUUAAAUCAAUCAACUAGCACAGGUUUAAGGCUUCUCCCCACCUGGAGUCUUUAACCUAAAUUAACACAAAAUUCUUAUGCUUUUAAUCAAUGGACCAGUGACAGCCUCAAAGGACCCAAAAUAAAUUUCAGUCAUAAGCCACUAAUCCAUUCUUUCCAGAAUUACAUACAAUAUAAUUUGAUACAAUUUAAGAGCUGUAAAGGCUCCAAACCACCCAGUUCCAUGUGAUUUCAAUGAUCACUAAUCAAGAAGCUUAUGUAUAUGCUGAAUUUUUUAUUUAAGAAGCAUAAGAGGAAAACAGAUUCAGAGAUUAUAAAGAUUGAUUGCCACAAGCCAUUUUUAAAGCUUCUUCUAGGCUGUAUCCAGAAGUGAGUUACUAAUCUUAAAUUCCUUUAGUUUAAUUCUUUCAUAUAUCUGUUCACCUAACUUACUGAGGACCUACCUACCACAUGCUGUAUGAGUCCCAGAAAUAGAAAGAUUUUUAAGUCCCUACCUUUAAGGGUUACCACUUUAGUAGGAGGAGACAUACAUGUGAACAAAUACAAAUUAGUAUUUAGAGUAUGUCCAGCACAUGCUGAGAGGACAUAAAAAUGGGAGUAGUCACUUUGACCUGAGAGGUUAGGAAAGCUGUGACGGAGAAAGUGAAGAAAACAUUGCUCUUGCCCUCAGAAGUUUAGCACUGCUUAUAAAGAUGAUUCUUUUCACAAUAUCUCUUUGAGUUGUUUUUCCAGUGGAUUCUCUCUCUCUUGCUCUCUCUCUCACUCACACACGCACACUCUAGGAUCUUUUCUGUGAAGAACAUGCAUUUGCAAUAGGCCUAGUCUGGCUAGGGAGAGCAGUCUACUAUCACAAAAUGCAGGUACCUCACUCAUCCUGAGGCUAAGUAAUCUCUAUCUGCUUUUGUAGAAAUCAAUCAUCACAUCCCAGCUCACUGAUUUAGCCGAGGAAAGAAGAGAGUACUUGGGACAAUAAUACAAAGGAGACAGUCUGAUGGGCCUAAUUAGACAUAUACUGUGCCAUAAGUUAAAACUGAAAAACUCUCUAAAACAUUCAACAAGUUAAACCUUAGCCCCACCCCCAAAAACAUGUCAGAAAGGGGGGCAAUUAUCCUAUAUUAAAUUCACUGUUUUAACCUUAAAAACCUGACUUUAGAUGGUACAGCCAUUUCAGUUUUAAAUACUGUCACCAAAAAUGCAUUGUUGGCUAAAGAAUGAAGUGCUAUGGAGCACAGCACCUGAAAAUCUGAUUUUUGUUAAGUCAUAUUUCCCUAGAGCUCACCUAAGGAAGCAGAUGUUUACAUCUUAGGACCUGUCCUUUCAAGAGAAAGAGUGGAUCAGCCCACAAACAUAUUCCCUCACACAAAGCACAGACAACACAUGGAGAUGGGAAGGGAACAGUCGGAAGGAAGGAAGAGAACGGUCAGUGAAGCUUUGCCCACUAUAGCCACUGCACCCAGAAUCUCUGUCACUGCCACUUCCAACCUGACUGGCCCUGCCAUAAUUAUGUGAUAGCCAACACUGACUGUCAGGGACCUUCCUGCUCCCUUCUUACUGUUUAAGACUUUUCUUCCCUUCCCACCUAGGCAGGCUCUCUCAGAGAUCAAGAAAGAUCCAGAUUACUUUCUAAGUCUGAGAAGCCCAUUAUACAUAAAAAUAAAGAAAUGCCAAAACAGGGUCAUAAAAACAGUGGUAUAUAUUUAAGGGGUUACACUUAAUAAUUUUAAUUGCAAGACAAACAUGUUCUUUUAAGACCCCUCUUUUUCUCUAUGACUAUAUGUGGUAUAUUUGAAAAUAAUUUUAAAGUCCAGACCCUUCAUAAAUAUAAGCCUGAGUGAGAGGUUCAGAGGGGGCCUCAAACUCUCUCUGCUUCCCCAUAUUUAGAACCCACCAUUAGCCAAGGUCUAAUUAAGUGAAAAAACUGCUGAGACCUCAAAGAAUUCUCCCUUCACUAGGUACUUUACGCAUUUAAAUUGUUAAUCUGAGGAAUGAGCUCCACUGAAAUUUCAGGCAUCAACAACUGAUAAUUCAGCCUUUCUAGUAUCCCUCAAAUAUUAAGUACAGCCUCUAUAAUCAAUUCACUCUGUCCCCAAAUCUUUCUGUGUAGAUAAAUAUAUACAUAAUUAUAUAUAUGAGCAUAUAUGUAUUAAAUAUAUAUAUGAUUUAAAAAAUAAUAGAUGUGAAGAUUGCAAAAGACUCAGGGAGAUAAUGUGAAAAUAGACUUUUUUUUCACAUAUUAGCCAUCUGGCACGAAUUUUACUUUAAAAUAGCAAAAAAUAGAUUUAUUUUGUGGCAUCCUGGUACUAGCCAAUAUGCUUUGCUUCUGGCAUUGCCAUUUUGAGAAAGGUCAAGGAUGCUCAGCCUUUAUAUUAGUCAUCUAGAAGCCUGAGUGAAGGCUACAAGCUUAGUAACAGUUUUUAGGAGGGAGGCAGGAACACAGAGUACAGUGACCAGUUUUAAUCUAGGUCAAGUGGCAAGUGCAGAGCAGCAACUCACCCAUGUGCGCAGCAUGUGAUAGCACUAAAACAUACUGUUCCAAUCCUGUGCUCCCAGAUUUAAAGAUCCGACCAGCCUCAUCCACAAAUUAAUCCUACCCCUUUCCUAACUUAGUACAGAACACUAUGACACUUUUUUGGACACCCAAAAGCAAAGUUAAAAAACACACUGAGUCAUACUCAAAACACUCAAAACCCUUUAAGGGCAACAGCAAACUCUUUUUUGCUACAUGUACCUUGAGAUAACAAAGCUAAAACAUACACAUAAACACCACAGGCACAAAAAAUUAUUUUACUUCAGAUGAGCUUAGAUUGACUCUGCCUCCAAACAAAACAGGACUCUGCCAGAGCUAAGGGAUACCUGAAGGCGAAUCUGCAUGUGGGAAGAGGAAGGUUCAGAGUGUCACUGCUGCACAGCUAUAUGCUCCAUGAAUCUUGCACCUGAGAGGCAAGAGGAGAUUCUGAGCCUGCAAGUUUCAAUCAAGAACUCUACCACCUACAGGCCCAUCAGCUCCUAUGGUCCUUCCUCCAUUUCAUGCUAGAAUUACAGCAGAAACAGAUCAAUGUAUAAUUCCUGAAGAUACUGCAGAGCCUUAAAGUGAAACGGGUGUCUUAUGUUAAUGAGAGACUUUUGGACCCACCCAAGGCAGGGGCUGGAGGUUGAAUCAGCCAAUGGCCAAAGAUUUAGUCAAUCAUGACUAUGCAGUGAAGCCCUCACAAAAACCCAGGAGAAGAACCCAUCUCUCUUGCAUCCUGCUUCUCUGUUGGAGAGAGCCUCCAAGCUUGGGAAACCAGAACGCAUCCACAUGCCACUGAGCCAACCCCACGCUCCACAAGGAUAGAAGCUCCUUUAUUUGGGACCUUGCCCAAAGUAUCUCUUCAUCUGGUUGUUAAUUUAUAUCCUUUACAGUACCCUUUAUUAAACCAGUAAAUAUAAGUGUUUUCUUGAGUUCUGUGAGCUGCUCUAGCAAAUUAAUCAAAAGUAAGGGGGAGGUCACUGGAACCUCCAAUCUGUAGCCUGCAGGUUAGAAGCACAAGUAACUAACUAUCUGGGGCUUGUGAGCCAGGGGUGUAGGGCAGUCUUGGGAGGAUGGAGCUCUUAACCUGGGGAAUCUGGUGCUAUCUUAGGACAGAUGGUGUCAGACUUGAGUUCUCAGACACCCUGCUGGUGUUCGAUAAUUGCCUGGUGCUUGGGAAGACACACAUACACACACACGCACACUUUGGAAUCAGGUCUGGUAACAGAAAGGAGCUAUACUGUGGAAAAUACUACCAUAUUGUGCAAAGGGCCUUUAGCUGUCUUCAAUUAUAUGUUUGAUCCCUGGCAUUGCGGCUGGGUUCAGUCCAACAUGAGUCCAAAGAUGCUUAUACCUCUGAGAGACAAAGUCCAGACCUCAGAUGGCAUUACAAAGAAUGACAAAAUAGCAGCAUUAUUCACAACAGUAAAAGGUGGAAGCAAAUCAAGACCACUGAGGGAUGAAUGGAUAAACAAAAUGUGGUAUAUACACAAAUGGAGUAUUAUUCAGCCUUAAAAAGGAAGGAAAUUCUGACAUACGCUACAACAUGGAAGAAACUUGAAAACAUGAUGCAAAGUAAAAUAAGCCCAUCACAAAAGCACAAAUACUUUAUGAUUCUGUUUAUAUGAGUUACCUAAAGAAGUCAAAUUCACAGAGAUAUAAAGUAGAAUAGUAGUUGUCAGGGACUCAGGAGAGAGAAAUGAGAGGGUUUAAUGAGUAGAGUUUCAGCAGAAAUGAAAAGGUUCUAGAGGUAGAUGAUAGUGAUAGUGACACAAUAAUGUUAAUGUGCUUAAUGUCACAGACUACACCUAACAAUAGUUAAAAUUGUAAAUUUUAUGUAUGUUUUACUGAAAUAAAAAAAAUAAAGAAAAGAAUCAGUUUUACAGUCUCAAGACAGUAAUAUCCUAGCAUUUCGCCAGAUUGUAAAAGUGCCUUUUUAUUCUCAUCCUAAUAUUAAACUCUUGGUUUCUAUACUUAAAGGUUUUUAAUCAAACCAAAAAAGUAAGUUAUAACAAUCUUCCUAAAAAGUUAUGAUGAAAGAACAAAAGACUACUAAAACUGACAAGCAAAUUUACAGACUUCUAGAAGUAAAACUUUAAAUUAAAAAUUCAGUGGAUGGAUUAAAUGCCAUAUUAGACACAGCUGCAUGAGCAUCAGCUGAAGAAGUGAAGAAGUUACCAAAUGGAAAAUAGAAUGAGAAAGUCCAACAUUUUUCUAAUUAGAGUUCCAAAGGGAGAAUAAAAUGAGGGAAGAGGCAAAAAUUCAAAGAGAUAAUUGCAAAGAAUUUUCUAGGACUGAUACAAGAAAUCAACUUUCAAAAUCAAGGAGCCCAAAAAAUCCCAAGAAAGAUAAAUAAGGUCUUAAAAAACCCAGGGAGAAAAGUCAUAAUCUACAGCAAAACAGCAAUUAGACUGAUGGCUGGUUCGAAUGCAGAAACACUGGAAUAGUGUUUUCAAAUAUUAUCAGACUAAUAUAUAUGUAUGAUAUACAUACACAUUACAUGUAAUAUCAAUCAGCCUAGAUUUUUUAAUCCAAUGAAAUCAUCUUUCAAAAAAGAUGACAAAUAAAAAUAUUUUGAGACAAAUACUUAUAAAGAGUAUAUAUAGUCCAAAGACCCUAAUAAAGAUACUAGUGAAUGGUGUUGGGGGGGGACUUGAUAAUAUGGGUGAAUGUAGUAACCACAAUGUUGCUUAUGUGAAAACCUUCAUAAGAUUGUGUAUCAAUGAUACCCUAAUGAAAAAAAGAAAUGGGAAAAAAAAAGUUACUAGUGAAUGAUGGACAUCAGGAAGAAGGGUAUCCAGAAGGAAGGUCUGUUCAUCACUUCUCUUACAUCUCAAAGGAAAAUGGUGAACAUGGGCAAAUGGGGGGAAAAAAUGUAUAAGACAACAACAGUAUCUAAUUUAUCUAAAGUAUCUAUAAGAAUCACAAUAGAAACGAUAUCUUAGACAACUGUAUAUAAGGAAACAACAAAAUUAGAAGUAUUUUAAAAUCUCUACAUUACUCAGGAGGGCAAUAAAGAUGCUAAUUAAGACUUUGUUAAAAAUGCAUGUUAAAAAUUUUUCAGAAAACCACUGAAAGACUAGAAAAACUAGGUAUGCCUUCCAAACUGACAGUGUCCCCUGCCUGACAUGUUCAACUCUUAUUACUCUGUGUUGAUAGGACAUCUGAAAGAGAUUCUAGCCCUCCUUCCAGGCAAGAGAUACUAAGCUCAUCCAGUACCUGGCAUAGUAUAUAGUCAUUAAAUAUUUGUUAAAUUAAUUUGGCUGUUCCAGAAUAAGAUGAAUUCUAUUUCACAAAUGCAUCAUACUUCUCAACUUUCUGUGGAAGGCUGAUCCCAUCUUACUAUUUUAGUGAGUGGCCUGUUUUACCCCUUCAAUUUUUUUCUUUUUUAGAAAGUAAGAUGAUAAUGAAUGCUUGGAAUAAAAUCCCAAAUCCUGAGCCCCAU